CCCUUAGAUGUUCUGGGCUGCACGCGCGCUACACUGACGCACCCAACGGGUUUACGACCUUGCCUGGAAAGGUUGGGUAAUCCUACAAAAAUGCGUCGUGGUGGGGACAGAUUACUGCAAUAACUAAUCUUCAACGAGGAAUUCCUAGUAAGCGCGAGUCAUCAGCUCGUGCUGAUUACCUCCCUGCCCUUUGUACACACCGCCCGUCGCUCCUACCGAUUAAGUGAUCCGGUGAAUAGUUCGGACUGCUGCAAUGCUUGGAUCCCGAGAAUUGCGGCGAAAGUUUAGUGAACCUUACCACUUAGAGGAAGGAGAAGUCGUAACA
rnacentral:rRNA from 1 species